rnacentral:rRNA from 1 species
UGGGGAAUCUUAGACAAUGGGGGAAACCCUGAUCUAGCCAUGCCGCGUGAGUGAUGAAGGCCUUAGGGUCGUAAAGCUCUUUCGCUGGGGAAGAUAAUGACUGUACCCAGUAAAGAAACCCCGGCUAACUCCGUGCCAGCAGCCGCGGUAAUACGGAGGGGGUUAGCGUUGUUCGGAAUUACUGGGCGUAAAGCGCGCGUAGGCGGAUCAGAAAGUUAGAGGUGAAAUCCCAGGGCUCAACCCUGGAACUGCCUUUAAAACUCCUGGUCUUGAGUUCGAGAGAGGUGAGUGGAAUUCCGAGUGUAGAGGUGAAAUUCGUAGAUAUUCGGAGGAACACCAGUGGCGAAGGCGGCUCACUGGCUCGAUACUGACGCUGAGGUGCGAAAGCGUGGGGAGCAAACA